AUCCAGCUGACGAGUCCCAAAUAGGACGAAACGGGCAUCGUGGAU
rnacentral:hammerhead_ribozyme from 1 species